GAUGAACGCUGGCGGCGUGCCUAAUACAUGCAAGUCGAGCGAACAGACGAGGAGCUUGCUCCUCUGACGUUAUCGGCGGACGGGUGAGUAACACGUGGAUAACCUACCUAUAAGACUGGGAUAACUUCGGGAAACCGUAGCUAAUACCGGAUAAUAUAUUGAACCGCAUUGUUCAAUAGUGAAAGACGGUUUUGCUGUCACUUAUAGAUGGAUCCGCGCCGCAUUAGCUAGUUGGUAAGGUAACGGCUUACCAAGGCAACGAUGCGUAGCCGACCUGAGAGGGUGAUCGGCCACACUGGAACUGAGACACGGUCCAGACUCCUACGGGAGGCAGCAGUAGGGAAUCUUCCGCAAUGGGCGAAAGCCUGACGGAGCAACGCCGCGUGAGUGAUGAAGGUCUUCGGAUCGUAAAACUCUGUUAUUAGGGAAGAACAAAUGUGUAAGUAACUAUGCACGUCUUGACGGUACCUAAUCAGAAAGCCACGGCUAACUACGUG
rnacentral:rRNA from 1 species